rnacentral:lncRNA from 1 species
AUGGGUGUGCUGUGGUUCACAGCAGCUCUGCGAAGCACUGCCUGUGGCAGGAGGGGAUUUCAUUCUCCAAUGAUUUUUCCCUGCUGUGCUUCCUCUGAGCUGAGUGCAGACCCGGGCCGAUGCUGCUGGAAAGGAACCACUGUGGUGCCUCCUUUGCCUGGAAACGCCACUCCUGGGGCACAGGGGCACCACCCGAGGGAGGGAGGGACUGUCCCUCGGUCCCCAGGGUACCCCAGAGCCCUGUCACCUCGAGAAACAAGGCUCUUACCACGCGGCGCUGAGGAAAAACCGAAUUACCUCGCCCAAGAUCUGAACUUCUCCUGCCAGCGAUUGCUCCAGCCGGUGGCAGCGCGGUGUUGCUCUCCCAGCUGGUGCCGGUGGAUGCCCGGACAGACGGCGCUGCCAAGCCGCUCUCUCCGAGAGGGAUGUUCCGCUUCCUUCGCUCCCAGGGCUCCGGAGAGGCUGCGGAGCCCCAGGCCCGGCUGGUCGGACACAGAGCCGGGGGUUUGGGCUCUAAGUCGGGCUGUCCUGCCCAGCCCCACCUCCGGGUGA